UACGUAGGGGGCAAGCGUUGUCCGGAAUUAUUGGGCGUAAAGCGCGUGUAGGCGGCAGGGCACGUCGGAUGUGAAAUCCCGUGGCUCAACCACGGAAGUGCACCCGAAACUGCCCAGCUAGAGUCUCGGAGAGGAAGGUGGAAUGCUUGGUGUAGAGGUGAAAUUCGUAGAUAUCAAGCGGAACACCGGUGGCGAAGGCGGCCUUCUGGACGAUGACUGACGCUGAGACGCGAAAGCGUGGGGAGCAAACAGG
rnacentral:rRNA from 1 species